rnacentral:rRNA from 1 species
UACAGAGGUCCCAAGCGUUGUUCGGAUUCAUUGGACGUAAAGGGUGUGUAGGUGGCGCCGUAAGUCGGGUGUGAAAUCUCGGGGCUUAACUCCGAAACUGCAUUCGAUACUGCGGUGCUUGAGGACUGGAGAGGAGACUGGAAUUCAUGGUGUAGCAGUGAAAUGCGUAGAGAUCAUGAGGAAGACCAGUGGCGAAGGCGGGUCUCUGGACAGUUCCUGACACUGAGACACGAAGGCCAGGGGAGCAAACGGG